rnacentral:lncRNA from 1 species
UCUAGCUUCUUCUUCAUUUUUCCAAACUCAACAAUAAAAUCCCUCACUACCAAAGACCUAAGCGAUAGAGAGCCUCUUCCCAUUUUCCUUUUCCUCUCAAUUUCACCUUCUACCAUCAUCGAACACCACAUACACACACACAUGAAAAUACAAAAAAAAAAUUCGAAACUCAUCAAUAAAAAUCGGGUUCAGAUCUGAAAUACGGUGGUUUAUAAAAAGAAAAAAAGAACAGAGGAUAGAGUCUUUCAUAUUACUGGGUUGCAAUAAUGCCCGCUUGAAGUUUUGUUGAUGUUGAUGCUGAAUUUCUACUGAGCUUCAGUUGAGUUCGUCUCGGCUUUUCUUUUUCUCCUUUUGGUUCAGUCUAUUCAAGUAAUCUGUUAUUUCCAGGUAUUUCUCUUGAAAUUUGGAUUUUCAAUUGAAUAGGAAAUGUGUCUCUGAUGGAAGAUGUAUAUGAGUUGUGAAAUUAUUGGAAUUAGUCUUGUUCGGCUCUGAAUUUCUGUUCUCGAUCAAUGCUUUAGCAUUUUGGAUCACUAGUUUUCUUAUUCUAUUCUUAAAUUUCAUGGAUUGGGAGCACGAUUUAGAUACCAUUUUUGUGUGUGUUAUGUUGAAUCUACCAUGGUCCCCUUCUGUAAUUUUUCUUAUCUCAUUUAUUUAAUUUGGAAUAUUCUAUAGUUGCUUAUUUCUUCACUCCACUCGCCUAUGUGUAUAAUUAUUGUUCAAAUGAGCAUUAGAUUGUACCUCAGUUUAUUUGUGGCUACUCAUGUUUUAGUUUUGACUCUAUACUCCUUAGUAUUCGCUUUUAAUUUGACUUCUAACAGCUAAAUAAAAUAUUCUUUGAUAUUAUCAGAUGUUUUAAAGAUGGGGUGAUAAUUGGAUUUGUACAAUUGAAAUAGCUGGCUUCAAAUACAUGGCGUUGAUCUACUAGUCACAAUAUUUUGAAGUUUAAGUCUUAUUUAAAGGUUUAGAAAACCAUUUAAAAAAGUUACCCGUUCUUCAGUAUAUUGGUGAUUUAGAGAGGAAAAGUAAAGGAAAAGGAUUUUUAAUUUGUUUCAAUUAACUUGUUAUUCCACCAAAGGACUUUAAAGGUUCAAGAUUAACUGAAGACUUGGGAAAUUCAAAAUCAAUCUCAGGUUUGGGAGUCAAUCCUUUUGUGUCCUACCAAAGGUUGAUUUUGUAUUUCCUUUGCAGGAAAAGUAAU